AUUCUUACUUGGCAGGGGAAACACCAUGAUCACGAAGGUGGUUUUCCCAUUGCACUGUGGGUGUGCUGACCUCUGCGAUUUCCCCAAAUGCAGGAAACUCGGCUGCAUAAUUUGUGGUAGUGGGGAACUGUGUGCCUGCUCUCCCCUG
rnacentral:snRNA from 1 species